rnacentral:rRNA from 1 species
CAGUCGCCGCGGUAAUACGGAGGGCGCGAGCGUUACCCGGAUUUACUGGGCGUAAAGGGCGUGUAGGCGGCCUGGGGCGUCCCAUGUGAAAGGCCACGGCUCAACCGUGGAGGAGCGUGGGAUACGCUCAGGCUAGAGGGUGGGAGAGGGUGGUGGAAUUCCCGGAGUAGCGGUUAAAUGCGCAGAUACCGGGAGGAACGCCGAUGGCGAAGGCAGCCACCUGGUCCACUUCUGACGCUGAGGCGCGAAAGCGUGGGGAGCAAACCGGAUUAGAUACCCGGGUAGUCCCUGUCUCUUAUAC